rnacentral:rRNA from 1 species
CAACCCGCAAGGGAGCCAGCCGCCGAAGGUGGGGCAAGUGAUUGGGGUGAAGUCGUAACAAGGUAGCCGUACCGGAAGGUGCGGCUGGAUCACCUCCUUUCUAAGGAGA